rnacentral:rRNA from 1 species
UGCAGUCGAACGAUGAAGUCUCCUGCUUGCAGGGGAUGGAUUAGUGGCGAACGGGUGAGUAUCACGUGAGUAACCUGCCCUUGACUCUGGGAUAAGCCUGGGAAACUGGGUCUAAUACCGGAUAUGACCAGUCACCGCAUGGUGUGCUGGUGGAAAGCUUUUGCGGUUUUGGAUGGACUCGCGGCCUAUCAGUUUGACGGUGAGGUAAUGGCUCACCGUGGCGAUGACGGGUAGCCGGCCUGAGAGGGUGACCGGCCACACUGGGACUGAGACACGGCCCAGACUCCUACGGGAGGCAGCAGUGGGGAAUAUUGCACAAUGGGGGCAGCCUSAUGCAGCGACGCCGCGUGUGGGAUGACGGCCUUCGGGUUGUAAACCACUUUCAGCAGGGAAGAAGCUUUUUGUGACGGUACCUGCAGAAGAAGCGCCGGCUAACUACGUGCCAGCAGCCGCGGUAAUACGUAGGGCGCGAGCGUUAUCCGGAAUUAUUGGGCGUAAAGAGCUCGUAGGCGGUUUGUCGCGUCUGCUGUGAAAGCCCGGGGCUUAACUCCGGGUGUGCAGUGGGUACGGGCAGACUAGAGUGCAGUAGGGGAGACUGGAAUUCCUGGUGUAGCGGUGAAAUGCGCAGAUAUCAGGAGGAACACCGAUGGCGAAGGCAGGUCUCUGGGCUGUUACUGACGCUGAGGAGCGAAAGCAUGGGGAGCGAACAGGAUUAGAUACCCUGGUAGUCCAUGCCGUAAACGUUGGGCACUAGGUGUGGGG